rnacentral:rRNA from 1 species
GUGGGGAAUAUUGGACAAUGGGCGAAAGCCUGAUCCAGCCAUGCCGCGUGUGUGAAGAAGGUCUUCGGAUUGUAAAGCACUUUAAGUUGGGAGGAAGGGCAGUAAGUUAAUACCUUGCUGUUUUGACGUUACCGACAGAAUAAGCACCGGCUAACUUCGUGCCAGCAGCCGCGGUAUUACGAAGGGUGCAAGCGUUAAUCGGAAUUACUGGGCGUAAAGCGCGCGUAGGUGGUUUUGUAAGUUGGAGGUGAAAUCCCCGGGCUCAACCUGGGAACUGCCUCCAAAACUGCAUGACUAGAGUACGGUAGAGGGUAGUGGAAUUUCCUGUGUAGCGGUGAAAUGCGUAGAUAUAGGAAGGAACACCAGUGGCGAAGGCGACUACCUGGACUGAUACUGACACUGAGGUGCGAAAGCGUGGGGAGCAAACAGGAUUAGAAACCCGUGUAGUCC